rnacentral:miRNA from 1 species
GAAGGCAGCAGUGCUCCCCUGU